rnacentral:rRNA from 1 species
CCCUACGGGGCGCAGCAGGCGCGAAACCUCCGCAAUGUGAGAAAUCGCGACGGGGGGACCCCAAGUGCCAUUCUUAACGGAAUGGCUUUCGUGAAGUGUAAAAAGCUUCAAGAAUAAGAGCUGGGCAAGGCCGGUGCCGGCCGCCGCGGUAACACCGGCAGCUCUAGUGGUAGUCAUUUUUAUUGGGCCUAAAGCGUUCGUAGCCGGUUUAAUAAGUUUCUGGUGAAAUCCUGUAGCUUAACUAUUGGAAUUGCUGGAGAUACUAUUAGACUUGAGGUCGGGAGAGGUUAGAGGUACUCCCAGAGUAGGGGUGAAAUCUUGUAAUCC